CAGGCUUAACACAUGCAAGUCGAGGGGCAUCAGGAAGAAAGCUUGCUUUCUUUGCUGGCGACCGGCGCACGGGUGAGUAACACGUAUCCAACCUGCCCUUUACUCGGGGAUAGCCUUUCGAAAGAAAGAUUAAUACCCGAUAGCAUAAUGAUUCCGCAUGGUUUCAUUAUUAAAGGAUUCCGGUAAAGGAUGGGGAUGCGUUCCAUUAGGUUGUUGGUGAGGUAACGGCCCACCAAGCCUUCGAUGGAUAGGGGUUCUGAGAGGAAGGUCCCCCACAUUGGAACUGAGACACGGUCCAAACUCCUACGGGAGGCAGCAGUGAGGAAUAUUGGUCAAUGGGCGCUAGCCUGAACCAGCCAAGUAGCGUGAAGGAUGAAGGCUCUAUGGGUCGUAAACUUCUUCUAUAUAAGAAUAAAGUGCAGUAUGUAUACUGUUUUGUAUGUAUUAUAUGAAUAAGGAUCGGCUAACUCCGUGCCAGCAGCCGCGGUAAUACGGAGGAUCCGAGCGUUAUCCGGAUUUAUUGGGUUUAAAGGGAGCGUAGGUGGACUGGUAAGUCAGUUGUGAAAGUUUGCGGCUCAACCGUAAAAUUGCAGUUGAUACUGUCAGUCUUGAGUACAGUAGAGGUGGGCGGAAUUCGUGGUGUAGCGGUGAAAUGCUUAGAUAUCACGAAGAACUCCGAUUGCGAAGGCAGCUCACUGGACUGCAACUGACACUGAUGCUCGAAAGUGUGGGUAUCAAACAGGAUUAGAUACCCUGGUAGUCCACACAGUAAACGAUGAAUACUCGCUGUUUGCGGUAUACAGUAAGCGGCCAAGCGAAAGCAUUAAGUAUUCCACCUGGGGAGUACGCCGGCAACGGUGAAACUCAAAGGAAUUGACGGGGGCCCGCACAAGCGGAGGAACAUGUGGUUUAAUUCGAUGAUACGCGAGGAACCUUACCCGGGCUUAAAUUGCAGUGGAAUGAUGUGGAAACAUGUCAGUGAGCAAUCACCGCUGUGAAGGUGCUGCAUGGUUGUCGUCAGCUCGUGCCGUGAGGUGUCGGCUUAAGUGCCAUAACGAGCGCAACCCUUAUCUUUAGUUACUAACAGGUUAUGCUGAGGACUCUAGAGAGACUGCCGUCGUAAGAUGUGAGGAAGGUGGGGAUGACGUCAAAUCAGCACGGCCCUUACGUCCGGGGCUACACACGUGUUACAAUGGGGGGUACAGAAGGCAGCUAGCGGGUGACCGUAUGCUAAUCCCAAAAUCCUCUCUCAGUUCGGAUCGAAGUCUGCAACCCGACUUCGUGAAGCUGGAUUCGCUAGUAAUCGCGCAUCAGCCACGGCGCGGUGAAUACGUUCCCGGGCCUUGUACACACCGCCCGUCAAGCCAUGGGAGCCGGGGGUACCUGAAGUACGUAACCGCAAGGAUCGUCCUAGGGUAAAACUGGUGACUGGGGC
rnacentral:rRNA from 1 species